AUGGAGAUUUUCAAGGGGGAGGAACUAUUCUGGCAGCGAGGGGGCCAGAAGUGGCUCCUUCAAGGCGAUGCUAACUCCGCGUAUUUCCAAGCGAUCGCGAAUGGGCGUCGCAGGAAGUGCUCCAUCUCGUGCCUUUGGGAAGGGAACACCCUUCUCGAACACCCGGAUGAGAUUAGGACCCACAUUUACUCCUUCUAUAAGGGGCUCUUCUCGGCAGAACCCCGUGGUGGGAUCUCCCUGGCGGAUGAUUUCUGGCCC
rnacentral:rRNA from 1 species